rnacentral:misc_RNA from 1 species
GAUGAAGAACGUAGCGAAAUGCGAUACCUGGUGUGAAUUGCAGAAUCCCGCGAACCAUCGAGUCUUUGAACGCAAGUUGCGCCCGAGGCCACCCGGCCGAGGGCACGCCUGCCUGGGCGUCACGCCAAAACACGCUCCCACCCCCCCUCACCGGGGGAGCGGGACGCGGCGUCUGGCCCCCCGUGCCGCGAGGCGCGGUGGGCCGAAGAUUGGGCUGCCGGCGUAUCGUGCCGGGCACAGCGCGUGGUGGAUCUCUACUCGGCGCAGUGCACCCGGCGCGUAGCCGGCGCAGCGGCCCCUAAGGACCCAACGAACGGAGCGCGAGCCGCUCCGACCGCGACCCCAGGUCAGGCGGGACUACCCGCUGAGUUUAAGCAUAUCAAUAAGCGGAGGA